AACAGUCGGUCACUCUCGGCCAUUGCGGCAAUUUUUCUGAACAAUUUUAUACUCGUCCGUAUCAUAUACAUACAAAGAGAGAAAGAGUGACUAUAAUACAAACUUCUUUUCAGAGUUCAAAGCCUUUCUAAGGCUAAGCACGCGAGGGGUAUGAAUAUUUAUGCCGAGAUCGACUUUGAUUUAAUUUUAAAAUUUCUCAGUCCGGCAGCGGAAUUAAAAUUUUUGAUGAGCUAGGUUCUCGAGGAAGUUUCGCAAUAGCUCUGUUUUUUCGAAUUUUCUAGCGACCACAGCGUGAAAUUGAUCGAAGCCCCGAUUUUCGCGCAGCGUUUCUAAUGCCUUGCGAAAUGCCGGCGUUGGUCAGCGACCUCUUCGUUGGACACGAUUUUCCUCAAAAUUAGGAAAUCAACGACAAAGUCUCGUUGCGCAAUGAUCGCGCGGCGAGAGAAGAAUUUUCCACGUAAAUCAAAAAUAGAAUCGCAUGCAGCCCAUAAAGUGUCGCCCCUCCUCUUCUCCUUGACAUUAUCUCCUCUAUCCAGCCAUUCCAACGUAUAUCCAGAGUCAGCCAACCGCAGGCAUAUAGCAAAAAUUCGCGUCUAUCUCUAUCUCUGUCCGGUAUGCCUUCAACCUAAGUCUAUACGGCUCUCUCUCUCUCUCACUCUCUCUCUCUCUCUCUCUCUCUCUCUCUCUCUCUCUCUCUCUCUCUCUCUCUCUCUCUCAGUAGCUCAGCGCCGAUAAAAGGAAAUCGUGCUCUCUCUUCUGUUUCUCGUGCAGGUAUAUACGUGCUGUUGGCGUCCUUGAAAGAGAAGCGUUACGAGAGUGCUAUACCCUUCGAUUCUCCUGUCCCAGAUAUAUGUGUACACAGACACUCACACACGCGCUCUCGGUUCGCUGCUGCUGCUGCUCUGCACUUUACUUUAGCUGUUUUUCUUCGCAGAGGCAAUUAGAACGACCAGGACGGACAAUGCGGGGCUUCUUUCGAGAUCAGCUGCUCUGCUCUGUGAGGCAUUCGCGCUUUUGUUUCAGUUUAUCUUGAUGUUGUGGACCAGGAGAUCCAAUGCGAUAGGGUUUGUUUAUUGGAAAAUUAGAGGGGCGGAGGAGUGUGUAGGUUGCGCGCGGGAUUUUUUUUCGGCGGAGAGGUUUAGCAGCUCUUUCAUAACUUUAUCAAUGAUGUGCUUCGGUGCUUUGUUUCAUCCUCUAUUUAUUGAACUACUGCGUAAGAUUCAAUUCUCAGAUUGGUGUUCCUGGUCUUGGAUUGCGAUAAGAUUGUUACUAUGAAUCGAGAUCUUAAUGAACGGUUUUGUAAUAACGAAACUCCUAGCUUCGUUAUUUAGCAUUUUGAAACUUACUCUUAUCUUUGUGCUUUUCGCCUUAACACCGAAAUUACUGGUUGUUUCGUACGAAAAUCUGCCUCGAGAAAUCGUCGCACAGAAUAAUCAUCGUCCGAAGGCGAUUCGCCACGGUGAAAAGGCGAGUCGGAUCUCGCUGGUGGAUUAAUGGCGUUUUCGAGUGCUCAAAAUUGCUGCUAAAAUUGGCGCUGCUGCUGCUGCUAGUUCGCGCCUGCUUGGGACGUUAAAAAUAGCGAGCCAAGAGAGCGAGUUCGCUCCGCUACGGCAGGGCAAAUAAAAUCACGGGCCGAACCGAGCUACCGCGUGGCUAAUAUAGACUCCGCUCUGCCGCUGCAGCUUGGACUGUAGGCGACAGUGUAGCGAGUCGUCUUUCAACGUGCAGUUGAGGCUAGUAGCUUGUGGAUUAGUUUUGAUUCAGUUUUGAUGCGGUGUGCAGAUUUUAAUCUGCUCGCGUGCUAUAAGCACUAUGAGGAAACUGAUAAGCUCGAUAACUUUCCACUCUGAAUUAUGGAUCAUUCACAUUGGUAAAUUCAAUAUAAUUCGAUAAUCUAUAGUGAUUCACGACAAAAACUCACUCUAAAUAUUACAAUAUGCAUAUAUAGGGCUUUGACUGUGGUGCGAAUUUCGCUGCGCAAUAUCGUCAGUGCUUGUAUAGCAUAUGCGUAGUGUGGUUAUCGUGUCUUUCGUCGAUUAUCGAAAACAAUGACACAUCCUAUUACGCAGUCAUUGUAUACUCUGAUUAAAUCAGCUGACAGCUCAGUAGUUGCUCUCUGUCUUCGCACUGAAAACACUGAGAAACUAGAACAGCGUGAUAAAAUGUUUCCUUUCAUUCGUGCGAUAAAAACGUUUGCAUUAUUACUAAAAAAGCCUAUUUAAAUAAUAACCCAAUCCUCUGUAUAUACUGAAUUACUGGAGACAACUUCUUCGAGCAUAAUAUCUGAGCUUACGACAGCGAGUAUGACAAGUGCCACGCAGCACAUCUCGCAGUAGCUUUCAGAGUUGUCCCUCAUUCAUUAUUUAACUCGCAUCCUUGCCAUGCAGCAGCAGCAGCCUACAUAACGGGCCCUUGCAGGCUUUCGCUCUUUCCCUUCCCUCUCGACUCGUCAGCUGAUCGACGCGAAGCGCUGCCCACAAGCGCGUUCGUCGCGCCUCUCCUACGUCACAAAGAAACGGCGGGUUGCUGCACUCGCUCGCUUCUUUGUGCGCCGCGCGCGCGGUUUCCUUAUCUUUGUUUCUCCCGCCGAGUCGUUGCUGCUGCCGCUGUUUUUUGUUCUUGUUCGUUUUAUGCGCGUUUCGCUGUCUUUCUCCUUCCUUCUCUGCAGCGACGCGCGAGAGGCCUUGGCGAACGAAAGAAAAAGAGACACUGUGUGGGACUGACUCAUCGCGGCGUUGUCGAUGCGCUCAGCGUGUGUCUCUUGCACUUGACUCGAUGCGACUUUACUUUGAGGUCUGAGGGCGAGGGAAGGAUUAUAGCUUUGGGUUUAAGAGCUUCACAAGAGAAGGAUCGGAGUUAUAGAUUGUUUGGAAAGGAGAUCGAGACACAUUUCGCAUAGACGCUUCUCUCGAACUAAAUUGACGGUUGCGUGCUCCAGUUUGGCCACAGUUUGUAGUAGGUAUACAGUUGAAGAAGGCUGAUGGAAGUAUGCCACGAUAGAACUGCUCGUAUACUUUCCUGUAAAUAAUUCACCUCUCGAGAGCUGCCUCGAUUUCAAUACGCCAGGGGAGCCGCACCUGAGGCAGAGGCACCUGAGUCACGUAAACGUUGAUGAUUCUCGCGCACGCAGCGCUAAUUUCACCUUAUAAAAAAUGACGAAACCAUAACAUGUUAUUAUGAAAUUCAAUACUGCGCCGCGUGCGAAUAUAUUAUCGUGAAUGAAGCUUGACCUCGCGGCUGUCAAGAAAAUUGCGCUGGACAUUGCGCCUUUCAAACCGGCCCUUUUUUCUCUCUCCUCCUUUCCACUCUCUCUCUCUCUCUCUCUCUCUCUCUCUCUCUCUCUCUCUCUCUCUCUCUCUCUCUUUUCAUUCAUUUGCCAUCGUCCGAAGAGGUUCACAGCGAGAUGUGCCUCUUUUCGGUGCGUGCUUUUGCGUUGGCGUCUUCGCGAGAGGGAGAGCGACUUACAUUUAUAAUGGCCCGUGGAACCUGCGACAUUCGAUGCAUAAAUAAAUUUGCAACACACACUAUAAAAUUGGGUAACGCGAAAAAUUCUUAUCCGCUUCUGAUACAGCCAGAAUUGGUUAGCUAGUCGUUGGCACGGCGAACGGGAAGCACGCCCUAAACUUGAUCCCAACCUCGAAUAAAUCCCGAAUUUUCCUCAGUCAUCACCGUCGUCGUAGAGCGCGACCUUCGUGACGCAACGAUCGAUGCUCUGCAUAAUGUACCAGGGCGAAAAGCGCGUAUGUGUAAUUGCGAUCGGUCGAGGCUUUUGGCCGAAAAAGGCUCGUCGCGAGACGAUCAGUGACUUUCGCGCUCUCGUGGCCCCGCGGGCAGUAGGUCGCGAGGACCUUGGCAGAGUUCGCUCCUGCAUGUCGCGGUCCCCUUUUUCGACGAUUUUUUCGUAAUCGAGUUACGGUGCCCUCGCGGAUGCACGUGUAACAGCUGGAGGACUUGUUUGUUCGCUCUUCAUCCCGGAGUUAUUUCUCGGUGGAUUUUUCUGAGAAAUAAAAAUUAUUGUACGCCGAAGACGGCAUAGGGUAUCUUGUUUUAUUAAAAAUGCGCGUAUAUCUUUUUAAACUGAAGAAAACUAAAACUGCCUCUCGGGUGAAAAGUUUGUGGCGAUACAAUGGCUAUCUAAUCUUCGCGUUGGCCAACGACAUUAGCAAAACAACAUUUAACCUCCGCGAUAGCUUUAGCGCUUCUAACCUUGAAGUAUCCGGCUUAUCGGCUAGCGCACGUUGUGCUACGUACAACAGCAGUAUACACUACAUCGUUCUGAAGUAACAUUGUAAUUCUGUUUUCAGAAAAAAAUAGAUAAUAUUGUGUACAAACAAAGAGCAGAUAGAAUGAAAAGAUGCGACGUCACUCUCGCGCGAUCGUCAAUCUUCAUUUGUUGUGCUGAAGCUAUUUUCCAAUAUCGAGUUUGCCUUGUUACACCACCCACGAUCCGUCGUCCGAUCGCGGCCAACGCCUAGGGCAAUGUCAGUUCAGAAACUCCGAACAGCUGAUAUCUGCGCAGUGCAGUUACAGCGAUCGAGGUGUGUUUACGAUGGCGCAAACACUGUAUCUCGGAAGUCAAUUUCGAUUCGCAUAGCCCAAGGAAAUCAUGUGACGAUAUGAUAGGUGAAAACGUUGCUCACUGAUUUUAAGCGUCGCCGUCAUUAUCAUCGAGUGUAUUUUCAUUUUCACCAAAUACCCAUCCACCUCGAUAAAAAUCAGCUACAUAUGUGGUUCUCCUGGUAAAGCAAUAUUAAAAUUCUGGCUUCCGCUUAAUAACCCAAAAAAAAGAACGUCAAAGACUUCCCCAUUCCCGAGCUCCCCUUGCUCCUUGAAUUUCUUAUCCGUUGUCGCAGAGCGCCACCUUCUCCUGCCUCUCAUCUACAACCAUUAAUUUCCUCUUGCGCCUGAGAGCUUUUUCCACGCAAUAGCCGAGUAGCAGCAGCAGCAGCAGCAGCAGAGGCCAACGACGAGCAGCAGCAGCGUGUUGGAUCGAUUCCGCGUCUGGCAACAGAGAGGCGAGAAGGAGGGUUGCACACGCCUCCACGAGUCCAUACACUCUCCGUGCAACGUUCCCUUCUCUCAUCUCUCUUUCUCUCUCUCUCUCUCUCUCUCACGCUCUCCAGCGCGCUCGGAAAAUCACGAGGGUGGCACGGACGCGAACUUGUUUCCAACCUCGGCCUGAAUCGAUAUCCCCGCUCACGCGAAAGCGGACUGGCUCUCUCUUCCACUCGGUCUUCAGCUUCUUGUAGGUAGGUGGUGUCGUGUGUGUUAGAGUUAGAGGCGGCUUUUUUUUGUCCGGAGAUUGCAGUUUAUCGGCUGAAUUCCCUGGCUUAAUGAGACGGGUGUCCUAACAACCCUUUCGCGCUGAAAAUUUCAGAAAUAUUUAGAAAGAAAGUCCAAGUUCAUAUUGCUCAAAAGAUAGCUUGCGCUCAUUACGCAUACAACAACAUUUUAUGCGAAACAACUCAAUAGGUUAUCUAUAAAGAAUUCGAGUUAGUUGUUUAUAGUAUACAUUCCUUAACAUUUGUAAGUCUACGCUUACGUUACACAUUUCAUAUUGAAAAAGAAGCUAUAACGUGUAUCCCGUAUUAAGUAUAUUUUGUGUACAGAGCUUAGCAUCUCUCAGGCGCGAGAGCGUCUCGAUUAUACGCGGCGCUGUAGAAAAAUCGCGCCUGGCCGAACAGCUGAUACCACUGGGGGCUCGUUCGCUCGGCGGCAGCACUGUACUACCGCAACAUGAAAACGCGCGAGCCUUCUCUCUCUCUCUCUCUCUCUCUCUCUCUCUCUCUCUCUCUGUCGCGUGUGCAGUAUACACACUCCUCCUUCCCUUUCGCGUCUCCCCCAAGUCUCUCUUUCGCUACUCUCCACCCUCUGACCGUACGAAGGGUUGCCAACCGGGGGUCGAGUGCGCGCGCUCGUUUCAUCCUGGCUUUUUUCAUACUGCCUGCUAUACUGCGCUGCUGUUGUGUCGGCGUUGUUGCUGCUUGCGGGAAUGUUGGCGUUGUAUCUCUUUCGAGAUGAUACUUAGAGUUAUCAGGUUUCACUCGUUUUUUACUCAGGAACGUUAAAAGAAACUAGCAAUUUCGAACUUGCUUCAUGAGUUCUUGCUAUAUUUGAGAAUAUGUAGGAUGUUUUUAUGUUGAAAGUAUAUUAUAUUGUAUCAUUUAGAAAAAUUGAGUGCUUAUCUGAAGAAAACUUGACAAAUCAAUUGGAAAAUAAUGUCAUAUCGUGGUGCGCAUAUUCUCAUCAAAGAGUUUUAAAAAGUUGCACAUCAAAUAAUGGAAAAUAAACUCAAAAUACCAGUCACUCCGAUAUACGAUACUUGAAACAGGUGCAUUAACCUUAGCCCGCGCAAGCUUCACCUCACUCGAAUACGAAAACGCUCGGAAGUCAUAAAUGACGCAAGGGAACCCGACAUUUCGUGCCGUGAGACAUAGUCUUUUUUCUUCUCAUAAAAGCCUUCGAAAUAUCAAACUCGCGUGCGUCGUUUCUACUUUCUGCUCGUCUUCUUAUCCCCCUUUUAUUAUCAUCAUUGUGUGGAAACGCGAGAAUAAAAAAAUACUAGUGCCAGAUGUACAAUAUACGCGCGUGUGUGAUAUAUACAUACUUCCGUGCGCGCAUUCAAUGUCAUCCACAUUGCUGACGUCGACGGAUAGACUUUUAUUUUGCACUCGGCGCAGGUUAGGUAUUAUGUCGAGAGAUGCCGACGACCUCAGCGAGUCAAUGCACUUUCGAUCAUUUUGCAGUUUGAUUAUUUUUAUUCUCCUGUCCCGUCGGUUGCGAGGAGACAACAUCGGGUUAUCGAUCGCGGGCUUUCAAAUAUUGCAUAUUCUAGGAAUCGAAUUAUUGAUAUAUUUUCGUUUAAAGUUUCUGAUAUCGAUCAAAAAAGCGUUAUUGUUAUGUUAUAAGUGGUUACUAUGUUUGCGUACACGAACCCAAUGAACAAAAGUAUAGGUAUUCAUUAAGUUAUAACUUUGAGAUCACGCUCAAGAUUCGAGAUUCUCUCGAAUAGGACUUUUAUACAUAAAUAUAAAUAACAUUUAUUCGUUAUGAGGAUAAUUACAGUUGAAUAGUCUUUUUGGCACUGACAAUUAUGAAAAUUCCAACCUUUCAGAACUCUUAAGACUUUUGUUUAGUAACAAACUGCCCGCGUGUGUUCGCACAAUGUUAAAUUUUGCCAACAUGCUACCUCUGGCAAGCGAGUUGAUCGUUUGCUUCUAACAAUAAGACUAAAGCUUUUUUGGUUCUCUGAAACGCUAGAUACCCCUAAAAUAUAUAAGGUUUUAAUCAUCCAAAAGUCGACAAUACACAAUUAUCCGAAAUGAAUGAAUCUAAAAUCAAUAUUUACUUUCAGAGCCCAUUUUUCUUUGGAACUUAACUCCGUCCUAAAUCAGCUCUAAUUAUCGGAUCCUCCACGCCAGAUAGAUAAAUUUACCCCUAAUUGACACCGUAAACGUUUAAUUUUGACUGAUUAACGGGCUGAGCCAAUAACUUUCGGAAAGAUGAUCCUCGGGGCUGCGCCGGCCGAAAGUUGAGGAAGCGCGUCUGUAUACAGUUCGUGACUCACUGCAGCUCUAGUCGCCAAUUCUCGCGACUCUAGACCUCCAAGAUCACGCGUCAGUGAAUCUUUACAUAAUACCUCCCGCCUUCGCCUAGAACAUUCAAGUCUGCAUGAGAUUUCCGUUGAUUCCCACUGAUGAGCUUGACUUUCGUAACUGCUAAAGGGUUCGUCUUCCGGUUUCGAUGACCAUGGCACGAGACGGUUCCGCGAUAUCCUGUUUACCUAACGUCUAUUCGAUUAAUCAUCACACUGGAAUAGCGUUGCCGUUAUUUUCAUCGAAACUGUAUAGGCGGAUGUCUGGAUUUAUUUAUACAAAGCCAGAUACAUCAUUUUCAUGUUCAUUUCCACAAUUAAUUGCCCUGACCGGAAUCGUAUCCGAUUGUGCUCUCGAUGCGUUUAAAAUUAGCCGCGGUGAUAAAGAGCGCGAAAUAACGCCGUCUCAUGCCUAAGCAAUUUUAUUAAACGGAAUGACGUGUCCUGCAGCACUCACAUCCUCUCUCGCGACGCGAAAAUAAGCUCGCGGUCUAAUAAAAGUAAGAGCUUUAUUUUUAAUUGGUCGAAAUUUAGACAUGAACUCUCAGAAGCGACGACCCCGACUGACGCCCUUUGUUCGACGAGAAGAUGCCGCAUUGGGAAACCCGACGCGGCAAAAGAAAGCAAACGAAUGUUAGAAGGUCGCGCGCGCGUACACUGGUAGUUUUCGAACCAAGUGUUUGAUCCAAAUCGGUUGGACUUAAAAAGGCGUGGUAGAAAGUCAAAGGAAAUAUCGAAACGUUAUUUAACGGUAUGAAACUUUACGAAAAAAAACAACUACUCUGGAAUGCAAAAUGAAUACCGCGACGCCAGCGUCAAACCGGUUCUAAUUGCACGCUGAAAAAAUCGUCUGCAAAAAUAUAACUACCAUCAAUUCUCCAUUUAAUUGAACGAAGCUGAAAUAUCGUCACGGUUUCCCGAGAGCUCUCUUGUACGUAUCUCGUUUUGUCGCACAUCGAAUUCCCAUUUAUAUCAAGGCAUACAUUAUGUGCUUGUUCCUCAUUAAUAUUUUUCACUGCAAAUACGCACGAGACACCGAUGUGCAUCAGCCACAGUCAAUAUUUUCUUUACAGAAUACCUCGGGGCGUGAUUUAUUUAUUUUUUCUCUCUUCAUCUUCCCAUAGAAAUCGACGUCUUACAACUUCCCGACGACAAAGCAAGUUGAAAACAUACAAUCGAUUCAGCGAAACAACAAUACCAGCGCGUCAUCGUCGAACGGAAAUUUUUAUGAUUGAAUAGCAAACACAUGCGGACCUCUUCAGCUUCUCCCCGAAUCAACCGGAAUUCCGUCCACCUCUAACAAACAAUCUCCAGAACAACAACCCGAUUUAACAAACAGACGCUUCCUCCGAGAGCGAAAAAAAGAAGCCGAGCCGCUCUAUUUCUCGCGACUCAUUUAUUCCCACCACCAGUCUCUCUUUCUUCUUCGUAUUCCCUCUUCUCGCGAAAGAGAGACUUGGCGCCUCGGCGUCGCUUAAAUAUAAAUCGGACCGCGGGAGUGGCCGAACUUUCAGUCUUGGCGUCGCGACGCUCGCGAAACGCACGCCUCGAGCAUCUCUCCACAAUUUUCUCAAGUAUUGUGGCAGCGUCUCUCUGCGAUAGUGAAAAGCCAUUUUUGCUGGCGCGAGUGCACAGUUUUAAAUUUCAUUUGGAAUCGCUCAAUUUGUGGUUGGAGUUAUUUCGUCCAUUCGGCGAGAUUUAAGAGGAUCGUGAGAGAAGUUUUUGGAAGAGGCCGAGAACGGAAAGAAAGGGAUUUGGAGGUACCCCUGGACCUGUGGAGAAACUUUUGGACUGGCUUGUUUGCGUUUCUUCUGAGCGAGCAACGAAAAUCAAGUGUCCAGAGUUGCAAGGAAUACCUUUCUUUAUCCAAGAGAAUCUGCCACUCGACACUGCCACUCCUCUCUCGGCGACGAAAAGAAAAAUAAACUGUUUACCGUCAUCUGCGAAGGCGUUCGAGAGAAAAAAAAAACACAAUAAAUAUCGACAAGAGAAAGGGGACACAGCAUCAGCGGCGGUGACGAAAAAAA